GGGAUUGCCCUAGUAACGGCGAGUGAAGCGGCAACAGCUCAAAUUUGAAAUCUGGCGCAAGCCCGAGUUGUAAUUUGUAGAGGAUGCUUCUGGGUAGCGACCGAUCUAAGUUCCUUGGAACAGGACGUCAUAGAGGGUGAGAAUCCCGUAUGUGACCGGCCCGCACCCUUUACGUAGCUCCUUCGACGAGUCGAGUUGUUUGGGAAUGCAGCUCUAAAUGGGAGGUAAAUUUCUUCUAAAGCUAAAUACCGGCCAGAGACCGAUAGCGCACAAGUAGAGUGAUCGAAAGAUGAAAAGUACUUUGGAAAGAGAGUUAAAAAGCACGUGAAAUUGUUGAAAGGGAAGCGCCUGCAACCAGACUUCGCGGCAGUGUUCCGCCGGUCUUCUGACCGGUUCAUUCUCUGUCGCGAGGCCAUCAUCGUCUGGGCCCGCCGGAUAAGACCUGAGGAAUGUGGCUCCCCCUCGGGGGAGUGUUAUAGCCUCUGGUGAUGCGGCGUGGCUCGGGCGAGGUCCGCGCUUCGGCAAGGAUGAUGGCGUAAUGGUUGUCGGCGGCCCGUCUUGAAACACGGACCAAGGAGUCUAACAUCUAUGCGAGUGUUCGGGUGUCAAACCCCUACGCGUAAUGAAAGUGAACGGAGGUGGGAACCGCAAGGUGCACCAUCGACCGAUCCUGAUGUCCUCGGAUGGAUUUGAGUAAGAGCAUAGCUGUUGGGACCCGAAAGAUGGUGAACUAUGCCUGAAUAGGGUGAAGCCAGAGGAAACUCUGGUGGAGGCUCGCAGCGGUUCUGACGUGCAAAUCGAUCGUCAAAUUUGGGUAUAGGGGCG
rnacentral:rRNA from 2 species